UACAGAGGUCUCAAGCGUUGUUCGGAUUCAUUGGGCGUAAAGGGUGCGUAGGUGGCAUGGUAAGUCGGAUGUGAAAUCCCGGGGCUCAACCCCGGAACUGCAUUCGAUACUGCUGCGCUAGAGUACUGGAGAGGAGAUUGGAAUUUACGGUGUAGCAGUGAAAUGCGUAGAUAUCGUAAGGAAGGCCAGUGGCGAAGGCGGAUCUCUGGACAGUUACUGACACUGAGGCACGAAGGCCAGGGGAGCAAACGGG
rnacentral:rRNA from 1 species